CCUACGGGAGGCAGCAGUGGGGAAUAUUGCACAAUGGGGGAAACCCUGAUGCAGCAACGCCGCGUGAGUGAAGAAGGUUUUCGGUAUGUAAAGCCCUAUUAGCAGGGAAGAGAAUGACGGUACCUGACUAAUAAGCCCCGGCUAACUCCGUGCCAGCAGCCGCGGUAAUACGUAGGGGGCGAGCGUUAACCGGAUUUACUGGGCGUAAAGGGAGCGUAGACGGGUCUGCAAGUCUGAAGUGAAAUCCCGUGGCUUAACCGCGGAACGGCAUUGGAAACUGUGGUGCUGGAGUGCGGGAGAGGUAGGCGGAAUUCCUGGUGUAGCGGUGAAAUGCGUAGAUAUUAGGAGGAACACCAAUGGCGAAGGCGGCUUGCUGGACAGUAACUGACGUUGAGGCUCGAAAGCGUGGGGAGCAAACAGGAUUAGAUACCCCGGUAGUC
rnacentral:rRNA from 1 species